AUUGAACGCUGGCGGCAUGCCUUACACAUGCAAGUCGAACGGCAGCGGACCUUCGGUGCCGGCGAGUGGCGAACGGGUGAGUAAUAUAUCGGAACGUACCUUUCAGUGGGGGAUAACGUAGCGAAAGUUACGCUAAUACCGCAUAUUCUGUGAGCAGGAAAGCAGGGGAUCGCAAGACCUUGCGCUGAUUGAGCGGCCGAUAUCAGAUUAGCUAGUUGGUGAGGUAAAGGCUCACCAAGGCGACGAUCUGUAGCGGGUCUGAGAGGAUGAUCCGCCACACUGGAACUGAGACACGGUCCAGACUCCUACGGGAGGCAGCAGUGGGGGAAUUUUUGGACAAUGGGCGGCAAGCCUGAUCCAGCCAUGCCGCGUGAGUG
rnacentral:rRNA from 1 species